rnacentral:snRNA from 1 species
GGCGGCAGAGGGUGGUGCAAUCAGACAACGCCCUCGCCUUUUACUAGGGCGUUCCGUGUGCCACCCUCACAUCAAUGCUGCCUUGCGAAUUUUUCGGCCUUCAGCUCGCUCUGAAUU